UAAACUCUUCUCUUUAAACUGGUGGAAGUACUGCAACAUCCAUUCUCUUGCACUCAUGAAACAAAAUCAGUGUCUGAAGUAAGUGGCUUGUUGGUGUGUGCUGCAGGCAUGAUAGCAAGAAACUGAGGAUGGAGCCUUUCACAUCCAGGAUAUUACAUGAAAGUUGCACAGAAAACUGAUAUAUCUCCAAUGACUCACCUGCACCUUUGGAAAAGUCAGAAUGACAUGGAUGAGAUGACCUACAUACACACCUUUUAGUCACAGUUACUCUUGAUGUUGAAAUCUGUUCAGCCUGCAUUUUUGCUCUACAGAGAGCAAAAGAGAAAGAGGACGAAUAUACAGUCUUCAGAGCAGCAGUGGUGACUGUCCUCCUCCUGGGCUCCUUCCCAGUCCCCAGAACAAUGUAUGGGUGCCAGGACUGCCAAACACCUGCUGCACCAAUUCCAGAUAUUUCUACCUUGACCAACACUCAAAAAGCCUUUUCAUUCAAUGUUUUUGGGAAACCCAGGCUAUUUGUUUCCAUCUCCAUCAACUCCCUGUGAUACAAACUACUGCACUGUUUACUGGAAGAGCCUGAACAGAAAGUCUACAACUUCAUAUCCACUAGAGCUUGGUUCAGUUCUUUUGCAUUUACAGAAGGCUGGCAGUGAAAUAGCAAAUUGUAUAAUGAGCUUCAAAGGGUCAUGCUGAUAUGAAAUGCAGAGACAGCCCUGAAAUCUGCUGAGGAACCACCCAGAAAGAGCCUGUACAUGCUCAAAUUUCUCACAUCCACCACGUAGCAAUGCAUUCUGCUAACAAGACCAACUAAAUGAACAUUUCUUUUGCUUGUACUUCAAAUUCUUCAUCAAAUGCUGUUUCAGUUUGCUUCACUGCAAUACUGGAAAAUGCCAGGUGUAUCUGGCAGUGUAGGAUAUAUGUAGCUCCCAGAAGUGCCCUGUACAUUUGCAAGAAAUGAAAUUAUUAAUUAUCUCUGUAUUUAUGUACCUAUUUGAUUCACAAGCUUGAUAGGUUCACUCUAGUGGCUGAUUUACGUGAAUGUUCCUGGGACUGCAUUACUGCAUAAUUAAUCUUUAUAGCAAAGUGGCCUUGUUUCCACAUGGAUGCUGCUUAAAAAAUUGCAUUCAUUUGCACUAUGGAGGCAUAGGCAAUAGGUGGAAAUAUCAAAAUGAGCUGUUCACUCCCUGUUCUGAAAUGGAUGAAAUCUAAAGCUAGUCUUCAUCUAGAUUGGAAGAAGAUGAUCCAGAGAUAUAGCACAGGUGUGUAUAUGUUCCUUAAGUGUAAACUACAUGAUCUUGUUUAUCUAGAACAGUUAAGGUCAGAAAUUUAUGUAGCCCACAAGUAUAAACUAUUUUCUCCUCAGGAAAACCUCACUGAUAUAAAGCUGGGAGGAGUGACUGACACCAGAAGACUGUGCCUUCAGCAAGACUUGGACAGACUGGAAAGUUGUGCAGGGAGAAACCUCAUUGAUUAACCUUGAUUAACAAGAGCAAGUGUAGAGUCUUGCUCCUGUGGUGGGAUAACCAUGUGCAUCGGUACAGGUUAGGGGAUGACCUGUGGAGAGGAGUUCUGCAGAGAAGGACCUGGGUAUUCUGGUGGACAACAGGCUGGCCAUGAGCCAGCAGUGGGCCCUUGUAGCCAAGUAGGACAAUAGUAUUCUGGGGCACAUUCAAAAGAGUGUGGUCAGCAUGUCAAAGAAGGUGAUCCUCCCCCUCUACUAUGCUCUGGUGAGACCACAUUUAGACUACUAUGUCCAGUUCUGGGCUCCCCAGUUCAAAAAAAAAAAAAAACAGGGACCUCCUAGAAGGAGUCCAGCAGGGGGCCGUAAGGAUGAUAAAGGGCCUAGAGAUCUCCCUUAUGAGGAAAGAUUGAGACACCUGGAUCUGUUCAGCCUGGAGAAAGAAGUCUGAGGGGGUAUCUGAUUAAUGUUUAUAAAUAUCUGAAUAGAGGUGGGAAGCAAAUGGAGGAGGCCGGGCUCCUCUUAGUGGUGCACAGCAAUAGGACAAGGAGUAAUGGCCUAAAACUUGAACAUAGGAAGUUCUAUGUAAAUAUGCUUAAGAACUUCUGUACGGUAGGGGUGACUAACCACUAGAACAGGUUGCCCAGAGAGGUUGUGGAGUCUCCUUCUCAGGAAAUACUCAAGACCUGGCUGAACAUCUACCUGUACAACUUAUCAGAGCAGGGGGCUUGGACUCGAUGAUCUCUUGAGGUCCCUUCCAGCUCCUGAGAUUCUGUGAUUCUGAAACAGCAUGCAACAGAUCAGAUAUUUUUUCUUUUGAAACUGGACCUUAAAAAUACAUAUAUAUUUUUUGUUAUCCAAGGAAAUUAACCUGCUUUCUUCAGGUCAAAUAAAUUAUCUGUGGAUACUCAAAGAUAUUUUUGAUUAUUUUGCUUGGUUUCUAAUUGAGAUGGAGGAAGCAAUGAAUUGUUUUACCUAACAUGUAAUGCAGAUAGUCAUCAUACUAUCAAUGGGAAUGAAACAAUUUUUCCUUUUUUUGGUUUUGGUUUUGGUUUCAAAGAUAAAACGAAGAGCACUACUGAGUAGUACAAAAGAACCUUCUG
ensembl:lncRNA